AAUAAAAGGCUGUUUUGGCGAGCUGGCAGUCCCCAGGUUAGCUUAGUUCACUGGUGUUGUACACGCCCCAAGCAGCAGGUUGCUCUCCUGUUGUGUUAGUCUCACCGUUACAGCUCUGCCCAUUUUUGCUUUUUUUUGUUUAGUUGUUUUGUUGUAAAUAAAACGGCUAACUGCAAUCUCUGGACUCCUGCUUCUGCUAUUCCCACCGCUAGCCAGCCUGGGCCGCCACGCUACCCUUUCACAGCCGGAGUCAUAGCGUGCAUUUACUUGAGUCUGGGGCUUUCAAGUCCAAGGUUGAGUCAAUACAGAUCAGCAGCUGCUGUUGAAAACUCCAGUCUGGACAAUGAAAACCGCUGAGGCUGCCCUAGCAAAACCUGGGAGGGAGGUCCUGCGGAACAGCUGCACUUACCUUGCUGGGCUGCAGCUGCUGAAACCAGGAGAAGGAAGCAGGCCAGGGAGCGAAGAGGAAGAACCAUUUUGCUGCGUGUCUUAAGAUACACUGGCAGGCAGGGCUCAGUGUUUUACCACAUGAGAUCCUCCGAGAUCAAAGUACUACAGAGAUAAACUGAGAAGUGACUAAGCUGGUGAAAUAUCUGCUUACGUAAGUUACAUACGUUUGACUUUCUCUUCUGUGCAUUUGAAAAAACAAAAUGCAAACCUAUUACCUUUUGGAAAUCUUCCCAGUAUAAUUGAACCCUAGCGGCAGAUACUGGACCCCGUUCAUAAAAGUACUUUUUUUAAAGGAAUGUUUUUAAUCUUUCUAAACACAACAGUGGAAAUGAACUUCAACCCAGGUUCAUGAACUGCAAACAUCAACUUCCAGCACUUUUACAUUUCCACAUUCACAGGAGUCUCUUAUCUGACUCGUUAUCUGUUGGAGUGUUAGUGUGCAUGUUCACUGAGACUCUUUUCACGAUAUGUGUGGGACUUUUGCACUUACUGAGAACUGAUUUGGAUUUUGAAGAGCGCAGUCAUUUUUUUUAAAUAAAAAAAAAAAAAACUCGAAUGAUUUUUUUUAUGAAUAUGGCCCAGCACAUGUUAUCUUCCUUGUUCUUCAUUUUUUUAAAAUAAUAAAAAAAAAAAACUAGAAUGAUUUUUUUAUGAAUAUGGCCCAGCACAUGUUAUCUUCCUUGUUCUUCAUUUUUUUUAAAUAAUAAAAAAAAAAAAACUAGAAUGAUUUUUUUAUGAAUAUGGCCCAGCACAUGUUAUCUUCCUUGUUCUUCAUUUUUUUUUAAAUAAUAAUAAUAAUAAACUUGAAUGAUUUUUUUAUGAAUAUGGCCCAGCACAUGUUAUCUUCCUUGUUCUUCAUUUUUUUUAAAUAAUAAUAAUAAUAAACUUGAAUGAUUUUUUUAUGAAUAUGGCCCAGCACAUGUUAUCUUCCUUGUUCUUCAUUUUUUUAAAAUAAUAAUAAUAAUAAACUCGAAUGAUUUUUUUUAUGAAUAUGGCCCAGCACAUGUUAUCUUCCUUGUUCUUCUUUUUUUUUUUUUACUCACACACGGUCGAAGAAGAAGAAAUAAACAGUAUUUAGUUCCAAAUGUAUUUUAUUAAGAUGCAAAUCGCUAAGCAACCAUAAUGUAUUAAAGCUACACAUUUGGUAUUUAAACCUGAUACUCCCUAUUCUGGCUCUUUGUCAUCAUUAGUUUUUGUUGGGGGGGGGGGGGGGGGGGGGCGGUGAUUAA